AGUGAACGCUGGCGGUAGGCCUAACACAUGCAAGUCGAACGGCAGCACAGUAAGAGCUUGCUCUUACGGGUGGCGAGUGGCGGACGGGUGAGGAAUACAUCGGAAUCUACUUUUUCGUGGGGGAUAACGUAGGGAAACUUACGCUAAUACCGCAUACGACCUACGGGUGAAAGCAGGGGAUCUUCGGACCUUGCGCGAUUGAAUGAGCCGAUGUCGGAUUAGCUAGUUGGCGGGGUAAAGGCCCACCAAGGCGACGAUCCGUAGCUGGUCUGAGAGGAUGAUCAGCCACACUGGAACUGAGACACGGUCCAGACUCCUACGGGAGGCAGCAGUGGGGAAUAUUGGACAAUGGGCGAAAGCCUGACCCAGCCAUACCGCGUGGGUGAAGAAGGCCUUCGGGUUGUAAAGCCCUUUUGUUGGGGAAGAAAAGCAGCAGGUUAAUACCCCGCUGUUCUGACGGUACCCAAAGAAUAAGCACCGGCUAACUUCGUG
rnacentral:rRNA from 1 species